GCGAUUAUAUAUAUAUAUACCAAUAAUAUAGUGCAACACAUUUACAUAAAUAAUAAGCAUACAAUUUAAAUGCUAGUGCAAUCCAAAUUCAAUGGCACUUUCGUAAAAGUAGCUUUUUACGUAAAAAGACACAUAAAAAAACGGCGCGUGUGAAAAUUUUCAACAACGACGUAGCAGCAGUCAGCAGAGGCAGUCUCAGUCUGUCUCGCCUCUACGUUUCUUUGCUGCAAAAGGAGAAGCUGAGCAACAACACAACUACAACAAAAUUCCCCACACACAAAUAGCGGUGCAUAAGUGAAGCAAAUGUACACGAAGAGGCAAACGCUGGCGACGCGCCGCGACGUCGGCUCUGCAGGACAGGUUUAUCAGGGCAAAAAUUUCACAAAAAGAUACUGAGCCGUAUAUAUACGUGUAUGUGCUCCCCUGUAUUUUGCAAAGUGCGUCUUUGUGUAUGUGUGUGUGUGUAUCAACAAUGUGUGCAACAAUAACAAAAACAACAGCAACAACAACAACGACUAACAUAGCAGCACGAGAAAGCAAAGUGAAAUUUAUUAAAGCAACAACAACAACAACACGCAAUACCAAUUCGAAACCGUUAUUCAACAAUUUCUUGAAAUAAGUGAAAGAAGGCAAAUACUGGUUUUUAUAUACAUAUACACACACAUGUAUGUAUGUGCAUGUAUAUUUUAAUGUUGAAAGAAACAACAACAACAACAACAGCAACAACUAAAAAGUUGCUGUGCGAGAAAUUUGUACGUGUAUUACCAGCGUGUGUGUGUGUGUGAGUGUGUGUGUAUGCGUGGUGUCUUCAGACUGUGUGUGAGACAAAUAGUAAAACAACAAAGUGAAAAGCAAUGCUAAAAGGAAUUAAAACAACAACAGCAACAACAACCCCAUUAACGGUACCAAACAAUUACACAAAACGUGAACGCAACGUGAAAUAACAGUAAAAGUCUUUUCAAAAAAGCUACAGAGAGCGCAACAAAAGCAACACGCGUGGGUGUCAACGUCACACGCACACACGCUCAACCAACAGCAGCAGCGCCAGCGGCAGCGCAGCAGCAGCAGCCAAGGGGUGGCUGCAGGGAACAAAGGCAGCGUCCGGCUCUGCCACUCAGCUUUACAAUUGAGCAUAUUUUCAAGGGCUCCAACAAGCGCGCGCUGCGUUUCAAUUUAAAUUAUUGGAGAUGCUGAAUGUGGUCAAUAUUUUCAAUAGGUGUUCCAAAAUCAUUGGACUAUAAGUCACAAAGUUACAAUGGACCCGAACAGGCAUAACGAAUAUCAAACGCAUCAUCAUCAAACUUCCCACCCACUGCAACACCUGCAGCAUCAGCAUGUGCAUGCGUAUCCACAACAUGCGGUGCAUAACCACAUACACCACCAACAACAA
rnacentral:sRNA from 1 species